GGACCUGACUGCUAUCGGAUUAAUACUAAGCCAUGCGAGUCUUUGCAGUAAUGCAAGGCAUACGGCUCAGUAACACGUAGUCAACCUACCCUAUGGACGAGGAUAAUCUCGGGAAACUGAGCAUAAUACUCGAUAGAUCAUAAUGCCUGGAAUGGUUUAUGGUUAAAAUGAUUCAUCGCCAUAGGAUGGGACUGCGGCCUAUCAGCUUGUUGGUGAGGUAAUGGCCCACCAAGGCGAUUACAGGUACGGGCUCUGAGAGGAGAAGCCCGGAGAUGGGUACUGAGACAAGGACCCAGGCCCUAUGGGGCGCAGCAGGCGAGAAAACUUUGCAAUGUGCGAAAGCACGACAAGGUUAGUCCGAGUGAUUUCUGCUAAAGAGAUCUUUUGCAAGUUCUAAAACCACUAGUGAAUAAGGGGUGGGCAAGUUCUGGUGU
rnacentral:rRNA from 1 species